rnacentral:rRNA from 1 species
UACAGAGGUCUCAAGCGUUGUUCGGAUUCAUUGGGCGUAAAGGGUGCGUAGGCGGCGCGGUAAGUCGGGUGUGAAAUCUCGGAGCUUAACUCCGAAACUGCAUUCGAUACUGCCGUGCUUGAGGACUGGAGAGGAGAUUGGAAUUCGCGGUGUAGCAGUGAAAUGCGUAGAUAUCGUGAGGAAGACCAGUGGCGAAGGCGGAUCUCUGGACAGCUCCUGACGCUGAGGCGCGAAGGCUAGGGGAGCAAACGGG